rnacentral:rRNA from 1 species
CCUACGGGAGGCAGCAGUGGGGAAUAUUGGUCUAUGGAGGCAACUCUGACCCAGCAAUGCCGCGUGAGUGAUGAAGGUAAUUUUAUUGUAAAGCUCUUUUCUUUGGAACGAAUAAAUGACGGUACCAAAGGAAUAAGCCCCGGCUAACUACGUGCCAGCAGCCGCGGUAAUACGUAGGGGCCAGCGUUGUUCGGAAAGACUGGGCGGAAAGGGUGUGUUGGUGGUUUGAUAAGUUAGAUGUGUAAUACCCAGGGCUUAACUCGGGUGGUGCAGCUAAAACGGUUAGACUUGAGGACCGGAGAGUAUAGUGGAAUUCCUAGUGUAGCGGUGGAAUGCGUAGAUAUUAGGAGGAACAUCAGUGGCGAAGGCGACUAUCUGGACAGCAACUGACACUGAGGCACGAAAGCGUGGGGAGCAAACAGGAUUAGAUACCCUGGUAGUC